UAAAUUAUAAUUUAAGUAAAAAGUUACAGUUCUUGCAAUUCACGAAGGCGAGUAGCUUAUGCUUGUGUUCAAGUCGUAUCGGUAUAAGUAAGGUACACUAAAUGUGUGCGUUUGCGAGCGCUGGCUCGCGACUGAUUGGUCCAACACGC